UACGUAGGCAGCGAGCGUUGUUCUGAGUUACUGGGCGUAAAGGGUGUGUAGGCGGUUGUUUAAGUUUGGUGUGAAAUCUCCCGGCUCAACCGGGAGGGUGCGCCGAAUACUGAAUGACUUCGAGUGCGGGAGAGGAGAGUGGAAUUCCUGGUGUAGCGGUGAAAUGCGUAGAUAUCUGGAGGAACACCGGUGGCGAAGGCGGCAUCCUGGACCGGCAUUGACGCUGAGGAGCGAAAGCCAGGGGAGCAAACGGG
rnacentral:rRNA from 1 species